rnacentral:rRNA from 1 species
GCACAGCGAGGGCGAGGAGUGAGGGAAAUACGGAGGGGUGGAGGGUGAAUAGGAAGUACGUGGCGUAAUGCUGGCGCAGGCGGUUGUGUAAGACAGGUUGGAAAUCCCCGGGCGUAACCUGGGAACGGCAUGUGUGACUGGUCGGCUGGAGUGCGGCAUAGGGGGAUGGAAUUCCGCGGGGAGCAGUGAAAUGCGUAGAGAGGCGGAGGAACACCGAUGGCGAAGGCAAUCCCCUGGGCCUGCACUGACGCUCAUGCACGAAAGCGUGGGGAGCAAACAGGAUUAGAUACCCGGGUAGUC